UACGUAGGGGGCAAGCGUUGUCCGGAAUUAUUGGGCGUAAAGCGCGCGUAGGCGGCUACUUAAGUCGGAUGUGAAAGCCCCUGGCUCAACUGGGGAAGCGCACCCGAAACUGAGUAGCUUGAGUGCAAAAGAGGGCCGCGGAAUUCCCGGUGUAGAGGUGAAAUUCGUAGAUAUCGGGAGGAACACCGGUGGCGAAGGCGGCGGCCUGGGUUGACACUGACGCUGAGGCACGAAAGCGUGGGGAGCAAACAGG
rnacentral:rRNA from 1 species